GCGGCGAGGCGGGCGGCGGCGGCGAGGCGGUCGGCGGCGGCGCGGCGGAGAGGCGGACAGCGGCGGAGAGGCGGACAGCGGCGGAGAGGCGCACAGCGGCGGAGAGGCGCACAGCGGCGGCGAGGCGCACAGCGGCGGCGCAGGCGCGGAGAGGCGCAGGCCCAGGCUCCACUCCCCAGCUGUGAAAGGUGACGGGAACAGUAAGAAUGAGGCUUGGAACGCGG
rnacentral:lncRNA from 1 species